UUCGGCCGGUCACGCUACGCCGGUUACGCUGCGCCAGCCGAGAUGCCAUCCCCUCUAUACUCCAACGCGCGCGCCGUCGUCUGCUAUCUUCGGAGCAUGCGCAGAACGACCCCCAAGUCGCGCGCCGCCCGCAAAAGCCGUCUGCGAAGUUGCGUUGACGCCUUUUUCUUCGCAGUCGGAUCAGUUUUGUGCUUCUCGAACGAAACAUGGCUUGGACAUUAUCCGCGCGACAGAAACUUGUCCUUGCGUUAUUAGUACACCGUCUGCGACGGAAGCGCAGGCGCUCCAUGUACGUUCGUGAAAUUUUCGCGGAACGGAGAACCGCCAGCGAGUACCACCAGCUAGUGCAAGAACUGCGGUAGAAGGACCCGGAGUACCAUCUCAAGUAUUUCAGGAUGACCAAGGCCUCUUUUGACAAACUUUUGAGCCUUCUCUACGACCGCAUCAUCCAUCCACCAAACCACAGGAACCCAAUCUGCCCUGCAGAAAGGCUAGCAGUCACGAUACGGUUUCUGACAACCGGCGGCUCCAUGCUGGACAUAGCUUUCAGUUAUCGCAUGCAUGUGUCCACAGUGUCCGGGAUCCUGAAAGAAACCUUACCUGCUAUUUGGGACUGCCUUUCCCCAGUUGUACUCAGACAGCCAACCAAAGAUGAAUGGGAGGCCAUUAGAAAGGACUUUGAUUCCAAGUGGAACUUUCCGAAUGCUGUGGGGUGUAUAGACGGCAAACAUUUUGCUAUUACUUGUCCUGAUGGCAGUGGUUCAGA